rnacentral:rRNA from 1 species
CAGGCCUAACACAUGCAAGUCGAACGGUAGCACAGAGAGCUUGCUCUCGGGUGACGAGUGGCGGACGGGUGAGUAAUGUCUGGGAAACUGCCUGAUGGAGGGGGAUAACUACUGGAAACGGUAGCUAAUACCGCAUAACGUCUUCGGACCAAAGAGGGGGACCUUCGGGCCUCUUGCCAUCGGAUGUGCCCAGAUGGGAUUAGCUAGUAGGUGGGGUAACGGCUCACCUAGGCGACGAUCCCUAGCUGGUCUGAGAGGAUGACCAGCCACACUGGAACUGAGACACGGUCCAGACUCCUACGGGAGGCAGCAGUGGGGAAUAUUGCACAAUGGGCGCAAGCCUGAUGCAGCCAUGCCGCGUGUAUGAAGAAGGCCUUCGGGUUGUAAAGUACUUUCAGCGGGGAGGAAGGGAGUGAGGUUAAUAACCUCAUUCAUUGACGUUACGCGCAGAAGAAGCACCGGCUAACUCCGUGCCAGCAGCCGCGGUAAU